rnacentral:rRNA from 1 species
UACGGAGGAUCCAAGCGUUAUCCGGAUUUAUUGGGUUUAAAGGGUGCGUAGGCGGCUUAUUAAGUCAGGGGUGAAAGACGGUGGCUCAACCAUCGCAGUGCCCUUGAUACUGAUGAGCUUGAAUGGACUAGAGGUAGGCGGAAUGUGACAAGUAGCGGUGAAAUGCAUAAAUAUGUCACAGAACACCGAUUGCGAAGGCAGCUUACUAUGGUUUUAUUGACGCUGAGGCACGAAAGCGUGGGGAUCAAACAGG